rnacentral:lncRNA from 1 species
AUUUUUAUUGUUAAUACUUAUUUGUUUUAGCAACUAAUCUUGUUUAAGUGUCUCGAUUUUGUAGAACAAUAUAUCCAUGAGAUGCAUAAAAGAGUUGGCAAAAAAAGGAUUAAAAUUCAUGAGGAACAAGAUGCGGUUUGGUGACAGAAUUCGAUUAUAUCUAGAUUUGCAUAUGGUUUGAUUUUCAGUUUUUAAAGGAGUCUAAAAGCCUUUAAAAGUUCUAAAAGGAUUUGAAAGUAAUCUACAUUGAAAAUGUUUCAAUAUGAUUGCUUAUCAGCUACAAAUGGUGAAGGAAAGGCCAUGAAAUCAUGGCUGAAACCACUGCUACUAGCAGUAGUUUUAGGUCACAGUUUUGGUUGAGAAAAUCAUCUUCAAAUAGUCCUAAAAUUGUACAAUUAUUAUACCUUUUUGGAUAAAUUUUGAAGUUUGAAUAUGUUCAAAACAUGCCUGGAAAG